AUUGAAACGCAGGUUCUCGUACGAUCAUCGAAGUUAAGCGACGUCGAACCUGGUCAGUAACUAGAUUGGUGACUGCUUGGGAAUAUCAGGUGCUGUAAG